rnacentral:rRNA from 1 species
AUUGAACGCUGGCGGCAUGCCUUACACAUGCAAGUCGAACGGCAGCACGGGAGCAAUCCUGGUGGCGAGUGGCGAACGGGUGAGUAAUGUAUCGGAACGUGCCCAGUCGUGGGGGAUAACGUAGCGAAAGCUACGCUAAUAACGCAUACGAUCUAUGGAUGAAAGCGGGGGAUCGCAAGACCUCGCGCGAUUGGAACGGCCGAUAUCAGAUUAGGUAGUGGGUGGGGUAAAGGCUCACCAAGCCGACGAUCUGUAGCUGGUCUGAGAGGACGACCAGCCACACUGGGACUGAGACACGGCCCAGACUCCUCCGGGAGGCAGCAGUGGGGAAUUUUGGACAAUGGGCGCAAGCCUGAUCCAGCAAUGCCGCGUGCAGGAUGAAGGCCUUCGGGUUGUAAACUGCUUUUGUACGGAACGAAACGGCGAGCUCUAAUACAGUUUGCUAAUGACGGUACCGUAAGAAUAAGCACCGGCUAACUACGUGCCAGCAGCCGCCGUAA